GAUGAACGCUGGCGGCGUGCCUAAUACAUGCAAGUCGAGCGAACAGACGAGGAGCUUGCUCCUCUGACGUUAGCGGCGGACGGGUGAGUAACACGUGGAUAACCUACCUAUAAGACUGGGAUAACUUCGGGAAACCGGAGCUAAUACCGGAUAAUAUAUUGAACCGCAUGGUUCAAUAGUGAAAGACGGUUUUGCUGUCACUUAUAGAUGGAUCCGCGCCGCAUUAGCUAGUUGGUAAGGUAACGGCUUACCAAGGCAACGAUGCGUAGCCGACCUGAGAGGGUGAUCGGCCACACUGGAACUGAGACACGGUCCAGACUCCUACGGGAGGCAGCAGUAGGGAAUCUUCCGCAAUGGGCGAAAGCUUGACGGAGCAACGCCGCGUGAGUGAUGAAGGUCUUCGGAUCGUAAAACUCUGUUAUUAGUGAAGAACAAAUGUGUAAGUAACGAUGCACGUCUUGACGGUACCUAAUCAGAAAGCCACGGCUAACUACGU
rnacentral:rRNA from 1 species